GUAACUACAGACAAGCACAGUGGUGCUUGGCUGUGAUCCUAACACACAGAGGAUCAGGCUCAUGGUCAGGGGCUGAAGAGAUGGGUCAGUGCUUAAGAGCAGUGGUUGCUCUUCCAGACCUAGGUUCAACUCCCAGCACCCUCACGGUAGCUUGCGACAGUUUAUUACUGCAUUUCCAGGGGCUCUGAUGCCCUCUUCUGACCACUUUGUCCACCAGGUAUGCACACAAUACACAGACCUACAUGCAGGCAAAACACUCAUGAACAUGAAAUAAACCUUAGGAAGAACGUUAAUGCCAGAGCUCGGAAUAUAGUUGAGUGUGUUUGCCUAGCGUUAAAAAGCUGAGGGUUUGGGGGCUGGGGAUUUAGCUCAGUGGUAGAGCGCUUACCUAGGAAGCGCAAGGCCCUGGGUUCGGUCCCCAGCUCCGAAAAAAAAAAAAAAAAAAGAAAAAAAAAAAAAAAAAAAAAGCUGAGGGUUUGACCAAUAGCCCCAACUAGAACUGGGCGUGGUGGUGUACUCCUGUAAUCCCAGCACUCAUGAGGUAGAGGCAAACGCUGACUUCCUUGGCUACGUGGUCAGUUUUAAGUAGGCUUGGGCUAUGUGAGACUGUCUCAAGAAAAUUUAUCAAGGUUAGCCUAGGGUGCAUGAGUUCUAGGCUACUCCUGUCCCUGUCUUAGAAAAGCAAACGUCAGUAAUCCACACUGUUGUCCCCCCAUACCCUCUUUGAUGACCGGUUCUGACUGUAAAAACCUGAGAUGAUAAAACACAAAGGCAGCCAUUUGUAGUGUGAUGAGUUGUAACUCACGUCUAUAUGGGUGUGACUGCUGUCUCAGCUGAGGGAGAAGUGUGUAAAUCUUUACUGACACUAUGUAGACAUUUAAUUUUUUUCUCCUAUAAAGCAUAGGGAUGUC
rnacentral:lncRNA from 1 species